CCUACGGGAGGCAGCAGUAAGGAAUAUUGGUCAAUGGGCGCGAGCCUGAACCAGCCAUGCCGCGUGCAGGAAGAAGGCCUUAUGGGUUGUAAACUGCUUUUGUAUGGGAGCAAUAAGGUCUAUGCGUAGACUGAUGAGAGUACCAUACGAAUAAGCAUCGGCUAACUCCGUGCCAGCAGCCGCGGUAAUACGGAGGAUGCGAGCGUUAUCCGGAUUCAUUGGGUUUAAAGGGUGCGUAGGCGGUUUGAUAAGUCAGCGGUGAAAUAUUUCAGCUUAACUGAAAGGGUGUCGUUGAUACUGUCAGGCUUGAAUAUGGUUGCUGUGGGUGGAAUGUGUGGUGUAGCGGUGAAAUGCUUAGAUAUGUCGCAGAACACCGAUUGCGAAGGCAGCUUACGAAACUACAACUGACGCUCAUGCACGAAAGCGUGGGGAUCAAACAGGAUUAGAUACCCUGGUAGUCCACGCCCUAAACGAUGAUUACUCGUUGUUAGCCUGUACAGGUUAGUGGCUAAGGGAAACCGAUAAGUAAUCCACCUGGGGAGUACGAUCGCAAGGUUGAAACUCAAAGGAAUUGACGGGGGCCCGCACAAGCGGAGGAGCAUGUGGUUUAAUUCGAUGAUACGCGAGGAACCUUACCUGGGCUCGAACGUGAGAGUAAUAUUUAGGAAACUAGAUAGCUAGCAAUAGACUUGUACGAGGUGCUGCAUGGUUGUCGUCAGCUCGUGCCGUGAGGUGUCAGGUUAAGUCCUAUAACGAGCGCAACCCCUACUUCUAGUUGCCAGCAUGUCAUGAUGGGGACUCUAGAGGAACUGCCGGCGCAAGCCGUGAGGAAGGUGGGGAUGACGUCAAAUCAGCACGGCCCUUAUGUCCAGGGCGACACACGUGCUACAAUGGUCGAUACAGAGGGCAGCUACCUGGUGACAGGAUGCGAAUCUCGAAAGUCGAUCUCAGUUCGGAUCGGAGUCUGAAACUCGACUCCGUGAAGUUGGAUUCGCUAGUAAUCGCGCAUCAGCCAUGG
rnacentral:rRNA from 1 species